rnacentral:rRNA from 1 species
UCGAGAAUCUUCCGCAAUGGGCGAAAGCCUGACGGAGCGACAUUUCGUGAUGGAUGAAGCCCUUCGGGGUGUAAACAUCUUUUAUCUGGGAGUAACUUAAUGAAAGUACCAGAUGAAUAAGGGGAUCCUAAUUCUGUGCCAGCAGGAGCGGUAAUACAGAAUCCCCGAGCGUUACCCGGAUUUAUUGGGCGUAAAGGGUGUGUAGGUGGUUUGGUAAGUUCAAAAUUAAACCUCAUCGGCUUAACCUUUGAGCUGUUUUGAAUACUGCCAUGACUUAGAGGGCGUUAGAGGCAAACGGAACCGACCAAGUAGGGGUGAAAUCCGUUGAUAUGGUCGGGAACACCAAAAGCGAAGGCAGUUUGCUGGGGCGACCCUGACACUGAAACACGAAAGCGUGGGG